CUUGGCUAUCCCCCUCCGUCGGUUGUCUCCCCCCCCGUUCCGUUGUAGCCCCACCCUCUCUGGUCUUAUCCCCCCCAUUCGGUUUUACUCCCCCGUCCCCCCUCCUCGGUUGUCGUCCCCUUCAGCUGUAUCCCCCCCCUUUCGGCUGUAUCCCACCUCCCUCAUCUGUUCCCCCCCUCUCGGCAGCUCCCCCAGGGCUGUCCCCGCCGCCUCAGCCUCCGGGCCGGUGUCCCCCCCUGAGCCGUCACCCUGUUGUAGGGAGGGCAGAGGCCAAAUGCCGCCCCGCCGGGCCCAGCCCCCCCGCCGCAAGGCACUGAAGGUGCUGUGCUGGCUGAUCGUCGGUUUGUUCGGGGUUUGGAUCGUUUUCCAGGGCCUCUCGAAGUGGUGGAAAGUGACAUACCCGUAAGAUUAGCGGAGGCAGGCUCAGAGGAGCUGAGGUAAUCCCAAAUCCUUGAGGUCUCAGUCCUGGCUGAUGAUGAGACAUCUCCUGAAACAGGCUGGCCACCUGCAUCCCAACAGCCCUGGAAAACUACCUCAGACAGCAGCCAUGAGGCACAGCCCACCACCAGAGACACCUGCAGCAUAUAAAUGUUGAGCACCCAAAUUAAAACCUGCUUUGACACCUGCAGGGUGUGAAACCAAA